GGGAAAAAGGAAGAUGUGAAGGGGAGAUCCUCGGAAAGGUAUCAUCCAAAAAACAGAGAGAAAUAGAAAGCAGUAGACCGCUAGAGGUUUGAACCGACUCUCUCUCCUCUCUCUUUCUCUUCCUUCUCCGGGAAGAAUAUAAGAUUGCUUAGCGUAGACGUAUGUUAUAUUACUCGGCCAGGGAUUCUUAUUCGUGAGGGAACUAGGGAGGGAGCUCUGGUUUGCCGCUUUGACAGAGAAACUUCCUUCCCCUUUCUCUUCUCUCCUUCUCUGUUUCUCUAUCUCCUCUGUCUGCAAUCUAUAAAAGGAGACAGUCUUCUCCUUCCCUCUCUUAUCAGGGAAAUCGCUGGGCUUUGUUUGUGUUUCGCCUCUUUGCUGCCUUCCUUUUGUGACAGAGAGAAGAACAACAGAAGAAGAGGAGAACCAAGCGAUCCAUCAUGUCGGACCCCAAAUACGCCUAUCCCUACCCUGCCCAAGGGUACUACCAGGGGCCGCCUGUCAUGGCGCCUCCCCAGUAUGCAGCGCCGCCUCCGCAGAGGAACGUGGGGUUCCUUGAAGGAUGCCUGGCGGCUCUCUGUUGCUGCUGUUUGAUCGACGAGUGCUGCUGCGAUCCUUCCGUCAUAUGCCUCUGGUGAUUGCGUCGGACUUGGCGGAGGCCGUGGCCAUUCCUACAUCCUCUUCUGUUUCUAUUUUUUCUUUUAGUUCCGCUUCUCCCCAGAUCUUUCUUCUUCUUCUUCUUCUCGUGCUCCUGUAUCCACCUGGUUUGUGAUGUCUCCUGAACUGUGUGGUAUAUAAUAUAACUAACUUCAUUUA